GAUUGCAAAAGAUUUUAUCAUUAUUUGAAGCGGAAGACCCUGAUGUGCGAAUCCAUGCUGUGAAAGUUAUUGCAAAUUUGGCGGCUGAAGCUUUGCAAGAUGCUGGAAGACAAGGUUCAUCAGACAGAGAAGCUUGAAGAAGAAAUAUCUGUUUUACAAACUCAGCUACUGCAGUUAAGCUUUGAUGCCGAUGAGGAAUUUGAUGCUAAUGAUGAUGUUUGGUAUAUGAUGUGUUAAUUGUUAAAUGUCUGACUAUAUAUCUUUUACUUUUUACUUUUUUAGACAAGAAACAGCUGGAGAGUGGUGAUCAUAGUGCCGAAAUGACGGUAGACAUGGAUUCCCUUAUCUCUCCCGUUAGGCAACCGCAUAUGAAGCAUUCAGGGGAGCAAGAGAAGGGCUCGGUGGCAAAACUAUUUGAGCAAGGUUCUUAGUGUACAACAGUUGUACCGGAUCAGUACAAUGUAUUGGGAUGACAAAUAUUGAACUCAUAGUGUGUCCCCGGAUCUAAGUUUGUAUAGGUGUGACAAACGGGUCAAUUUUGGUUGCAUUUUUAUCUCAAAACGGUCCGAAAUACACCCAAAGUUUGUUUUUUUGAUGCAAACAGCCUCCAAAUUUUUUUUAAAGAGUUAGAUCAUUACUGUAAUAAUAUCUUUUUUGUUAUCAUGUUAUUCAUAAAAAGUAGAUAAGAUGGUGUCUUCUGGUCAACCCUGGCAGUUUUGACCCAAUCACUUAGGUACGGGCCGAUGUGGGUUAUGUUUUAUCUCAGAUAGGUGAAAUAAAAAAUAAAAAAAAUAAAAAAAUAAUGAAAUAUCCAUUGAGUUGCUGCAGGCACAAUUGCAAACCUAUCAAUGAACGAAACCAACCAGGAGCUUAUAAUGUCUCAAGGGGGUAUCAGUUUGCUCGCAAUGACCGCACAAAAUGCCGAUGAUCCUCAAACUCUUCGGAUGGUGGCUGGAGCUAUUGCUAAGCUUUCUGGCAACGGUAAUUACAAACUUUAAAUUUACUUACAUAACGGUUACUUUUUUCAAAUCUAUACAUAUAACAAUUCUGGGAACACUAGCUACAGUUUUGUUUUUUAGUAAUUUUUACUUUUUAGCCAAAGGUUUAUUAACACUCCUUUAACUUUAAUAAAAUUAACUUUAUCCUUUCUACUUUAGUUUAACUUUCGGUUGACACCCCUUGCAAUUUAGUUGGUUUAUUUUCCCCCUACACU